GGUUGUGGCUCAGUGGUAAAGCACUCGCCUAGCAUGUGUGAGGCCCUGGGUUUGAUCCCCAGUACUG
rnacentral:tRNA from 1 species